AACAGUGAUUGCCUGCGCUGUGCAGCGGACCUACAAACGGGCGUGGGCAGUGUGUGUCUGUGGUGUAAGGCUGCAGGACCUGUUGCUAGAAGACCCUGUGUCACCCGCUUCCCCUUGGCCACUACCUGGCACGGGGCCUGCAAGAGAUGCCAUGCUUCCUGUGAGGGCUGCAGUGGGGAGGGGCCUCUGUCCUGUACUUCCUGUCCCGCCCCCAGCUUUCUGUUGACCUCAGGGCUGUGUGCCCCCACCUGCCCGCUGGGUUACUAUGCCGAAGGAGACAGACACUGCAGAGCGUGCGGUAGCCAUGUGUCUGUCUGUGAGAUGGGAG